rnacentral:rRNA from 1 species
UACAGAGGGGGCAAGCGUUGUUCGGAAUUACUGGGCGUAAAGGGCGCGUAGGCGGCCUGCUAAGUCGAACGUGAAAUCCCCGGGCUCAACCUGGGAACUGCAUCUGUGACUGCAUCGCUGGAGUACGGUAGAGGGGGAUGGAAUUCCGCGUGUAGCAGUGAAAUGCGUAGAUAUGCGGAGGAACACCGAUGGCGAAGGCAAUCCCCUGGACCUGUACUGACGCUCAUGCACGAAAGCGUGGGGAGCAAACAGG